CCAGCACCCCGAGUGGUCGGGACGAUUAUUGGGCCUAAAGCAUCCGUAGCCGGUUUUACAAGUCCUCCGUUAAAUCCAACUGCUUAACAGAUGGGCCGCGGAGGAUACUAUAAGACUAGGAGGCAGGAGAGGCAAGCGGUACUCAGUGGGUAGGGGUAAAAAUCCGUUGAUCCAUUGAAGACCACCAGUGGCGAAGGCGGCUUGCCAGAAUGCGCUCGACGGUGAGGGAUGAAAGCUGGGGGAGCAAACCGGAUUAGAUACCCGGGUAGUCCCAGCUGUAAACGAUGCAGACUCGGUGAUGGACUAGCUUUAUGCUAGUCCAGUGCCGCAGGGAAGCCGUUAAGUCUGCCGCCUGGGUAGUACGGUCGCAAGACUG
rnacentral:rRNA from 1 species